UCGAGUUAAGUCUCAUAUAACAUCAUCUCAUUAUGCCUUUAAUGCCAUGCACUAUCAUGUCUAGUAUCAUCAAUUAGAUUUAAGCAUAACAUCAAUACUAUCUCAAUUUAAUUAAUAAUCAUAUGGCAUUCUCAUACCACUAUUGAUAUCUCAACAUCAUGAUUCCAAAGGCAUUUCAUAUACAAAUAUUCAUUUUCUUAUUUCAUGAUCAGAUCCAUUGAUUCAUUUUAUAACCAUAUCGGCCCUCGGGGCCCGUAAUAUCCGAAUCGCAUGGUUUUUCACGUGCUAUCUUUCCAUGCUUUAAUAAUUCAUUUUCAAUUUCCACGAUCAACAUUUAACAUUAAACUUUUAAUCUUAUUAAGCAAAUCACAUGAUUUAUAAUCCCUAUUAACCAAACACAAAGUCAAGAUGGAUACACGGAUCAACCAAUCAUUACACCAAAAUAGCUGACACUCAGUGCAUCAUCGGUACGUCCGAAAUAAUGCGCGCUCCGCGCCUCAUCAGUAUGAACCGAAGUAAUAAAUGUAAAUGCGCCUAGCACCUCAUUGGUAAAAACCAAAAUAAACCCCAUACACUAAUCCUAUAUCAUGCCAACUAUAUCUAACUCUACCCGAGACCGUUAAUUGUAUUCAAUAUUUCAAAGUAUAUAUGUUCCACAUGUUAUUAACUUUUAUAUAUCAAAUUCAUAUCUCUCUAAAAUCAUUUAUCAUUUCAUAACAUUACUAUUCUUUUACAUCUCAUAUACAAUCAAUAUGGCAAUUCACAUAUCAAUUUCAUGCUUUUAUAUAUCAUCUACUUAAGUAUUCAUACUUUCACAUAUCAAUAUCACAUUUAUCUCAUAGUUACAUUUUCACAUCAAGAUACGCAUACAUACAAAUACACAAACUAUCAUCACACUAUAAUCAUUCAUCUUAUAUACUAUCAUCACAGUUUUCACAAGUUCACAACCAUAUAAUACUUACCAAAUCAUGAGACAAGUAGGGUCAUUACCUUAAUCAAGCUAUUUUGUAACAAGUCAUAUAUAUAAUAUUCAAAUCAUGAAACCACAAACCGGAUAAAGCUACUCGUCUACGGUUUUCGCCUUUCCUUUAUCUCGCGACGUCCCAACGCUGUCUUUAGCUACGUACGAUAAUUCGAUUAUUGACGCGAUAUUAGUUUUCAUACAGACACAUCAAUUAAACAUAAAUUGCAUUUUAUUCAUUUUAGCCCCUAUAAGCCCUAAUAUCCGAAAUGCUUGUAUUUUUCGAUAUCUAAUAUCAAAUCAAAAUUUAAUUUCAUAUUUUUUCAUUAGGGACCCAAAGCUUUCAAUCUACAACAAAAUUUUCUAACCACUUUCACUUUAUUUAAUUUGAUCCCUAAUGUCAUAAAAUUAAUUAUAGGUUUUAGUUGAAUUUCUAAUCAAAUCCAACACUUUUCUCUACUUUCUAACUUAGUCCUAAUAUAAUUUAAGCUAAUCCUUCAAAAAUCUAUUACUAUCAAUUUUAAUUUCAUGAAAACUCAUUAAUGGAAAUUUGGAUUUAACUUGACAACUUGGAAAUCUAAAACAUGUGCAAGACUAAGCUUAGUUGAUAAAAUAUCUAUAAUAAUCUCAUGAAAAUAACUUGGUUACCUUGGUUAUUUGGGACCGAAAUUUGAAGAAAACUUAACCUUCUUUUUCUCUUUUCUAUUCGGUUUGAGAGGUAGGAGAUAAUAUUUUUGUUUUUCUCUCACCCACUUGCUCACCAUAUAUAUAUAGAUUAACAUGGUUAUCAACUUAGUUAACUAAUAAUUAACUAUACUUUAAUAAUAGUUAGUGGGAAGUGUUGACAUACUUAGCACUUAAAUAUUGACAUGAAUCAUAAAUAGCUCAAUAACUCCAAGGUCCCUAGUUUAAUUACUUAUUAAACCCUCAAGCAUUUUC
rnacentral:lncRNA from 1 species